rnacentral:lncRNA from 1 species
AAGCACUGCAGAAGACUACCAGUAGUAUUUUUUUUAGACUGCUGAGUAGGUAUGAAUUGUAGGUAGGUAGGUAGGGUGUGCAAGCUUUUUUUCAGCCUAAGUUUAACGCAACAGCUGUGUUGUAUUAGCUUUGCUCUGUAGGCACCUGUGAGCUGCUGGGAGGUGCUGUGAAGCUGUGGCACUGCCUUAGAGGUGCAAGAAGGGCAUGCUUUGUGGUAUGAGUCUGUUUCUCUUCUUCAGGUUUGCAAUGUGAGUUGGCAUGUCCCAUCUGCAAGUUCCCCCCAGGCAUGGACGUGCAUGAAGAAGCAUUUCAGAGCUGGAGCUGCCUGCUUGAGUGGUGUGAGAUCUGCUAAGGGCUG